rnacentral:rRNA from 1 species
UACGUAGGGUGCGAGCGUUAAUCGGAAUUACUGGGCGUAAAGGGUGCGCAGGCGGUUCUGCAAGUCAGGCGUGAAAGCCCCGGGCUUAACCUGGGAAUGGCGCUUGAAACUACAGGACUGGAGUAUGGCAGAGGGAGGUGGAAUUCCUGGUGUAGCGGUGGAAUGCGCAGAUAUCAGGAGGAACACCGGUGGCGAAGGCGGGAUCCUGGGCCAGUACUGACGCUGAGGAGCGAAAGCGUGGGGAGCAAACAGG